GGUGGGUGCAGGGAGCAGACCACCUUUGAGCCUGCCUUCGUCCAGGGAGAGGCCUCUGCCUUCAUGAUCCUCAAAAAAGGUCAGGCCCUACCAGCCUGAGGACCGAAGACCCAGGGCUGAAUUUCCAUGUCAAUGGGCAGCCUGGCCUGGAGAUGCAGCAGCAAGAGCCCUGUCCCCCAGUGUAGGGAGGGACAGCCGGGGCCUGGAGGACAUGGAGCCCUUCUUGCAGUGCGUGGGCGAGAGCAGGAUUCCAGAACCCUCCUGGGGGAUCCCAGAGGACCCAACCACACAGCCCCCAUUGGCUGUAUUGUCAGGGCCUGUGGCCGCCUCCACCCUGUACUUCCUGUCUCCCCGGCCUCGAGUUCCUGGGCUGACCAAUCAUGAUUAUGAGGCUCCUCUGCCAAGCCAAGGACAGAACAGCCCAGAGAGGACAAGACGCUUGCCCAAGACCACAUAGUGAGAACUGGUGAGUGCCUGCAGAAUAAUGAAUGAGCAAAGGUCCCAGAGAGGGCUGUAGUAGGAGCAGAAGAGCCCGGAUGGGGGACCCUCAGCGGCCUUCCUGUGGGCGGCACUUGGAGGUUGAAGAUCAGCUUG
rnacentral:lncRNA from 1 species